CCUUUUCCUUUUUUUCUUUCUCUUUCUUUCCGUCUUCUCUUUCCUCUUUCUCUUUCUCUUCGUCUUCUCUCUUCUCUCUUCUCUGUUUUCUGCACAAACCCUAGCGCAGCCACAAACCCUAGCGAUAUCGUCGACCACUCCAAUAUCACAAUCUCACGGUCUUUGUCAUUUGGUUUCUAUGAACUUGGCGGCGACCACCGUUUCUCCAUCUCCAGCCGAUUCGGGCCUUGAAAAAUAAAGUGUUUGUGUGAAGCUGGGGUUUUUGACAUUUUAUAUUUAGUAUCGAAGUUUUAGGUGCCUUUCAGAUCACCUUGCAGCUUGGGUGAAGGAAUACAAGGUUGACAAGGCUAUUGCAGAAAUUGAGGGAAGACAUGUCCAAAAACUUGUAGAAUUGUGAUGAAUCAAGGCAGCAGUUAAUGCACAUUUAGGAGGAACACAGCAAACUGGUAUGUAAUAAAAAAUAUAGAACUAAAAGUGCUUAUAUGCAUAUGUAUAUUACUUAUAUCUAUGCAUUUUUUUAACCCUCUUAGUGGAAACUUUGUAAACAAGACACUGUAUGAAAUACGGUUCAUGGGUCCAUUUUGAAUUUCUUUCUGUGUUAUAAA